GUUCAGUAUAUUCUCAAAAAAGGCAAGUGCCAGAAUAAAGCCAAAGCCAAUGAACUGGAUUUUGCCUCAACUGCUCUCUCUGUAUGGUGUUCUUCAACCAAAAUAUUGAGUGUUUCCAACUGAGGGUCAAGUGUUGGCAUGUCCACCUUGUAUCACUUAGUUGCCUAAGCUGGACAGCUGGUUUGCUCAGCAUUUCAUGUUGCACACUAGCAAACAUUGAAUGAGCUACAGAAGUACUGCAAAAAUCAUACAACUUUUCUAGUUUUACAAAAAAUUCCAAUGCUGCCCAUAUAUUCUUCACCAUGUC